GGUCCAAGUUCGAAGUAGAGUAGAUUACUAGUAUCAGUUGACCCUACUAAACUACUCUACUUCGAGUGUGGACCC
rfam:Haemonchus placei strain MHpl1 genome assembly, scaffold: HPLM_contig0000326